AGUGAACGCUGGCGGUAGGCCUAACACAUGCAAGUCGAACGGCAGCACAGUAAGAGCUUGCUCUUACGGGUGGCGAGUGGCGGACGGGUGAGGAAUACAUCGGAAUCUACUUUUUCGUGGGGGAUAACGUAGGGAAACUUACGCUAAUACCGCAUACGACCUACGGGUGAAAGCAGGGGAUCUUCGGACCUUGCGCGAUUGAAUGAGCCGAUGUCGGAUUAGCUAGUUGGCGGGGUAAAGGCCCACCAAGGCGACGAUCCGUAGCUGGUCAGAGAGGAUGAUCAGCCACACUGGAACUGAGACACGGUCCAGACUCCUACGGGAGGCAGCAGUGGGGAAUAUUGGACAAAGGGCGCAAGCCUGAUCCAGCCAUACCGCGUGGGUGAAGAAGGCCUUCGGGUUGUAAAGCCCUUUUGUUGGGAAAGAAAAGCAGCAGGUUAAUACCCCGCUGUUCUGACGGUACCCAAAGAAUAAGCACCGGCUAACUUCGUG
rnacentral:rRNA from 1 species